rnacentral:lncRNA from 1 species
UAGGGCAUGUUUUAUACUUGUUGGGCAGUCUUUAUAACCAAUCAUAUAUUAUGUGUCCAUGAUUUAUCUUAAAAAUUAACAAAGAUGAUUUUGUAUAUUCUCAAGGUGUUGAGAAUUUGAGACAUACAUCAUUAGUAGUUAAUUUCUAAAUGCUCCCGAUCGAAGGAUCAUCAUGGAGGACAGUGAUCAAUCCAUUCAAGAUCAGUGUAUGGAUCACUUCUUUUCAGGGCAGAUGAGUCUCGAGUCUGCGGUAUAGA